GAACAUACACAGCACAGGGGGAUAACCAUUGGAAACGAUGGCUAAUACCGCAUACGCCCUAUUGGGGAAAGAUUUAUCGGUGUUGGAUUGGCCCGCGUUAGAUUAGCUAGUUGGUGGGGUAAUGGCUCACCAAGGCGACGAUUUAUAGCUGGUUUGAGAGGAUGAUCAGCAACACUGGAACUGAGACACGGUCCAGACUCCUACGGGAGGCAGCAGUCGGGAAUAUUGUGCAAUGGGGGCAACCCUGACACAGCCAUGCCGCGUGAGUGAAGAAGGCCUUAGGGUUGUAAAGCUCUUUCAGAUGUGAGGAUGAUGACGAUAGCAUCAGAAGAAGCUCCGGCUAACUUCGUGCCAGCAGCCGCGGUAAUACGAAGGGAGCUAGCGUUGUUCGGAAUUACUGGGCGUAAAGGGCGUG
rnacentral:rRNA from 1 species